UGACCUCAAAUCAGGUAGGAUUACCCGCUGAACUUAAGCAUAUCAAUAAGCGGAGGAAAAGAAACUAACAAGGAUUCCCCUAGUAACUGCGAGUGAAGCGGGAAAAGCUCAAAUUUAAAAUCUGGCAGCCUUUGGCUGUCCGAGUUGUAAUCUAGAGAAGUGCUAUCCGCGCUGGACCGUGUACAAGUCUCCUGGAAUGGAGCGUCAUAGAGGGUGAGAAUCCCGUCUUUGACACGGACUGCCAGGGCUUUGUGAUGUGCUCUCGAAGAGUCGAGUUGUUUGGGAAUGCAGCUCAAAAUGGGUGGUAAAUUCCAUCUAAAGCUAAAUAUUGGCGAGAGACCGAUAGCGAACAAGUACCGUGAGGGAAAGAUGAAAAGAACUUUGGAAAGAGAGUUAAACAGUACGUGAAAUUGCUGAAAGGGAAACGCUUGAAGUCAGUCGCGUUGUCCAGGGAUCAACCUUGCUUUUGCUUGGUGCACUUUCUGGUUGACGGGUCAGCAUCAAUUUUGACCAUUGGAAAAAGAUUAGGGGAAUGUGACAUCUUAGGAUGUGUUAUAGCCCUUGGUUGCAUACAAUGGUUGGGAUUGAGGAACUCAGCACKCCGCAAGKYCGGGUUAUUAACC
rnacentral:rRNA from 1 species